AUUGAACGCUGGCGGAAUGCUUUACACAUGCAAGUCGAACGGCAGCACGGGGGCAACCCUGGUGGCGAGUGGCGAACGGGUGAGUAAUACAUCGGAACGUGCCCAGUCGUGGGGAUAACGUAGCGAAAGUUACGCUAAUACCGCAUACGAUCUACGGAUGAAAGCGGGGGACCGUAAGGCCUCGCGCGAUUGGAGCGGCCGAUGUCAGGUUAGGUAGUUGGUGAGGUAAAGGCUCACCAAGCCGACGAUCUGUAGCUGGUCUGAGGGGACGACCAGCCACACUGGGACUGAGACACGGCCCAGACUCCUACGGGAGGCAGCAGUGGGGAAUUGUGGACAAUGGGCGCAAGCCUGAUCCAGCCAUUCCGCGUGCAGGACGAAGGCCUUCGGGUUGUAAACUGCUUUUGUACGGAACGAAAAGGCUCUGGUUAAUACCUGGGGCUCAUGACGGUACCGUAAGAAUAAGCACCGGCUAACUACGUGCCAGCAGCCGCCGUAA
rnacentral:rRNA from 1 species